GUAAAUAAAUAGUAAACAAAUAAAAAUGUAAAUGCGUACAUAACUAUCCCAUGAUAAGGAUUGUUAUUAUAUGGACGAAGGAUUAUUAUACAUGAGAGUAUUAUGAGGAUUAUUAUUCGGAUGGAGGGCAAUAGGCAGAGAGGUCCGAGCAAGCUGGACUGGAUACCACAGGGGUGUAUAUUCUUCAAAUAGUCAAAGGAUGAAUCAAAGGGUCUUAGGGCCAGGGGAAGGAAAUAAAAAAAGAGUAAAAAAGAAGGGAAGGGUAGGAAGAAAAGAGAAAACUUUUGGAGUGGUGGGGGGAGAUCAAAGAAGGGGGGAAGAAUCAGAGAUCAUUGAAAAAUAUACACCCCUGGACUACUAGUAAGUAGCAACAAGACUGAGAUAUAUUUAUAUACAAAAUAUUAAAUAUUAUAUUAAAUAACUCGCAAACUUACCAUCACUAGAUGUAGGGUCACACUGUUGGAAUCUUUUGCUCAGAGGUUGAUUAACUAACUUGGAAUUCGGCGUUAGUUGAUGCUUCCCAGGUCUGAAAUCAUCCUUCUCGGGCGUACUCGUCGAUUGAAUAGGAUAACAUCCAAGAUCGUCUUCACUAUCAU